GAGUUUGAUCCUGGCUCAGGAUGAACGCUGGCGGCGUGCCUAACACAUGCAAGUCGAACGGUCGACUUCGGUCGAUAGUGGCGCACGGGUGAGUAACACGUGGUUGACCUACCCCAAAGUAGGGGAUAACGUUCCGAAAGGAAUGCUAAUACCCUAUAAGCUCCCGGAUUUUAGAACCCUGGGAGAAAAGUUCCGGCGCUUUGGGAGGGGACUGCGGGCCAUCAGCUAGUUGGUGUGGUAAUGGCGCACCAAGGCAACGACGGCUAGGGGACCUGAGAGGGUGGCCCCCCACACUGGAACUGAGACACGGUCCAGACUCCUACGGGAGGCAGCAGUGAGGAAUAUUGCACAAUGGGCGCAAGCCUGAUGCAGCGACGCCGCGUGGGUGAUGAAGGCUUUCGGGUCGUAAAGCCCUUUUCUAGGUGACGAGAAUGGACGGUAGCCUAGGAAUAAGUGUCGGCUAACUACGUG
rnacentral:rRNA from 1 species